rnacentral:rRNA from 1 species
AUUGUACGCUGGCGGAAUGCUUUACACAUGCAAGUCGAACGGCAGCACGGACUUCGGUCUGGUGGCGAGUGGCGAACGGGUGAGUAAUGUAUCGGAACGUGCCCAGUCGUGGGGGAUAACGUAGUGAAAAUUACGCUAAUACCGCAUACGAUCUAUGGAUGAAAGCGGGGGAUCGCAAGACCUCGCGCGAUUGGAGCGGCCGAUAUCAGAUUAGGUAGUUGGUGGGGUAAAGGCCCACCAAGCCAACGAUCUGUAGCUGGUCUGAGAGGGCGGCCAGCCACACUGGAACUGAGACACGGUCCAGACUCCUACGGGAGGCAGCAGUGGGGAAUUUUGGACAAUGGGCGAAAGCCUGAUCCAGCCAUUCCGCGUGCAGGAUGAAGGCCCUCGGGUUGUAAACUGCUUUUGUACAGAACGAAAAGGUUUCUACUAAUACUAGGAGCUCAUGACGGUACUGUAAGAAUAAGCACCGGCUAACUACGAGCCAGCAGCCGCGGUAA